UUAACUAUUAUAUAGUACUCAGACAUCACUAAACAAACGAAUUUGGAUCCUCUGGCAAGCGCGGUCAGCGUGAGCCGACGCCCGAAAGCGGCUUGCCAAAGCAACAAAGGUAUGUAUACACGGUUUGGGAAUAGAACCCAUUUCAAAAAACGGGACAUUCUUUAAUGAUCCUUCCGCAGGUUCACCUACGGAAA
rnacentral:misc_RNA from 1 species